GCAGUCUUGGCCGAGUGGUUAAGGCGAUGGACUGGGAAUCCAUUGGGGUGUCCCCGCACAGGUUCAAUUCCUGUCGACUACG
rfam:Ixodes scapularis strain Wikel colony gcontig_1108379617170, whole genome shotgun sequence.